rnacentral:rRNA from 1 species
ACUCCUACGGGAGGCAGCAGUGGGGAAUAUUGGACAAUGGGCGAAAGCCUGAUCCAGCCAUGCCGCGUGUGUGAAGAAGGCCUUAGGGUUGUAAAGCACUUUAAGCAGGAAAGAAAGCGCCGAGUUAAUAGCUCGAGCGUGUUGACGGUACCUGCAGAAUAAGCACCGGCUAACUCCGUGCCAGCAGCCGCGGUAAUACGGAGGGUGCAAGCGUUAAUCGGAAUUACUGGGCGUAAAGCGAGUGCAGGCGGUUGCGUAUGUCGGAUGUGAAAG